AUUGAACGCUGGCGGCAGGCCUAACACAUGCAAGUCGAGCGAGUGGCGGACGGGUGAGUAAUGUCUGGGGAUCUGCCCGAUAGAGGGGGAUAACUACUGGAAACGGUGGCUAAUACCGCAUACUAUCGGAUGUACCCAUAUGGGAUUAGCUAGUAGGUGGGGUAAAGGCUCACCAAGGCGACGAUCCCUAGCUGGUCUGAGAGGAUGACCAGCCACACUGGGACUGAGACACGGGCCAGACUCCUACGGGAGGCAGCAGUGGGGAAUAUUGCACAAUGGGCGCAAGCCUGAGUCAGCCAUGCCGCGUGUAUGAAGAAGGCCUUAGGGGUGUAAAGUACUUUCAGCGGGGAGGCGUUACCCGCAGAAGAAGCACCGGCUAACUCCGUGCCAGCAGCCGCGGUAAUAC
rnacentral:rRNA from 1 species